CCUACGGGGUGCAGCAGUGAGGAAUAUUGGUCAAUGGACGAGAGUCUGAACCAGCCAAGUAGCGUGAAGGAUGACUGCCCUAUGGGUUGUAAACCUCUUUUAUAUGGGAAUAAAACAGGGUAUGCAUACCCUCUUGUAUGUACCAUAUGAAUAAGGAUUGGCUAACUCCGUGCCAGCAGCCGCGGUAAUACGGAGGAUCCGAGCGUUAUCCGGAUUUAAUGGGUUUAAAGGGAGCGUAGGUGGGUUGUGAAGUCAGUUGUGAAAGUUUGCGGCUCAACCGUAAAAUUGCAGUUGAAACUGGCAGUCUUGAGUACAGUAGAGGUGUGCGGAAUUCGUGGUGUAGCGGUGAAAUGCAUAGAUAUCACGAAGAACUCCGAUUGCGAAGGCAGCUCACUGGACUGCAACUGACACUGAUGCACGAAAGUGUGGGUAUCGAACAGGAUUAGAUACCCUUGUAGUC
rnacentral:rRNA from 1 species